AUUGUGGCAUUUAUUUUCAACAUCACAAAAUAUAAUAUGUUUUUGCAGGUGAGCCAGGUCAGGUCGGAUCAUCAGGGCCUCCUGGUGAGAAAGGUCUUAAAGGAUCAGCAGGUGCUCCUGGGCCAGAUGGUGUUAAAGGAAUUCGAGGGGAUCAAGGUCCGAUUGGGUUGCCUGGAGCUCGGGGACCCUCAGGGUCUCCUGGAGAUGCAGGAAUACCAGGUAUAAAUG
rnacentral:lncRNA from 1 species